GAAAUACGUUCGAUUGAAUUUAGAAAGCAAUCCUAACCGUUUUGGAUUCAAACAAACUCAAUUCUAUUCCUAGCCCAAGUUGACAAAGCCCAAAACAAGUAAGCCCAAAAUUUCUCCUCCCUUCCCUUCCAACUUCACGUGAAACUCAAAACCAAAUACACAAAACCCUUCUUCUUGCCAUUCACGUGAACCUGUAAAAAAAAAAAAAAAAUUACUCUCGAGCCUCCUCCUUCGUCAGCCGCCGCACCAGGCACCGCCUGGCCGUCGUCGUUGUCACGCCGCCGCUCUCCUCCACUCGUCACCACCGCACCAUCACUGCCACCGUGCACUGUUGUUGCACCGCCCAGCUCGCCGACCAACGUUUUCUAUCAUCCUCUUUCUUGUCUCUUCAUUCUCACGACGGCAGCCAAGCACGAUAGAGUGCGACCACCGUAAUCACCACCACCAGGCUCCAGCCGCGUCGCCCGUCCCCCGCGACCAGCGCCUUGUGCUGCGCCGCCUGUGCUCCGCCGGCCAGCCUCCUCUCUCCCUCUUGAUUUGGCGGAGAAUUCUCUUUAGGCGACUUUUGAAAGUGUUAAAGUGGCCUAUUAGUUGUUUAUGCAAGUCUCUAAGGAUCAAUAAGCAUUGUCCAUCUGCAGGUUUGAAGAUGUUGCAUCAUUGGGAUCGGGAAUAGAGAGCUUGUAUUUAGUUUUGAUUUGCUAAGUUGACUUGGGUUUGUUUAAUUGGACUUUAAACUUGUCGUACUAUUUACAUUUCCUUAUUUUCGUUGGUUGAUUUUUGGGACUAAACCUGUAAUCGAUUAUUUAUAAACCUAAAGUUAGUUUUA